UACGUAGGGUGCGAGCGUUGUCCGGAAUUAUUGGGCGUAAAGAGCUCGUAGGCGGUUUGUCGCGUCGACUGUGAAAACCCGAGGCUUAACCUCGGGCCUGCAGUCGAUACGGGCAGACUAGAGUUCGGUAGGGGAGACUGGAAUUCCUGGUGUAGCGGUGAAAUGCGCAGAUAUCAGGAGGAACACCGGUGGCGAAGGCGGUUCUCUGGGCAUGUCCUGACGCUGAGGAGCGAAAGUGUGGGGAGCGAACAGG
rnacentral:rRNA from 1 species